rnacentral:antisense_RNA from 1 species
CUGUUAGAGGGAAAAAAUCUCCUGGUCUAGGUUUUUUGGAACCUACUGUUGCGGUUAACACGACUGUAUCACCGUAACGUACGAGUGCGGCACCGCUAGCUUGUUUGGCUAAUUGCCCUACUUCGAUUUGUAAAUUUUUACCUGCGAGUUCUGUCUGAAAUACUUGUUUUUCCGACAUAAAUCAUUCUCCUUUUUUAGAGAACGUUUUUCUUUACCAUGCAUAAGAAUGCUUCAUGCACACCUCAAAUGUGAGGCACGCAUAAAUCCAAAAACCUACUAUAAAGUGCUAUUUUUAUGCUUUUUAGUACGUUUUUGGAUUCAUG